GACGUAGGGCGCAAGCGUUGUCCGGAUUUAUUGGGCGUAAAGAGCUCGUAGGCGGCCUGUCGCGUCGACCGUGAAAACCCGCAGCUCAACUGCGGGCUUGCGGUCGAUACGGGCAGGCUGGAGUUCGGUAGGGGAGACUGGAAUUCCUGGUGUAGCGGUGAAAUGCGCAGAUAUCAGGAGGAACACCGGUGGCGAAGGCGGGUCUCUGGGCCGAUACUGACGCUGAGAAGCGAAAGCGUGGGGAGCGAACAGG
rnacentral:rRNA from 1 species